rnacentral:rRNA from 1 species
CGUUGACCUCGGAUCAGGUAGGAAUACCCGCUGAACUUAAGCAUAUCAAUAAGCGGAGGAAAAGAAACCAACAGGGAUUGCCUUAGUAACGGCGAGUGAAGCGGCAACAGCUCAAAUUUGAAAUCUGGCCCCAGGCCCGAGUUGUAAUUUGCAGAGGAUGCUUUUGGCGCGGUGCCUUCCGAGUUCCCUGGAACGGGACGCCAUAGAGGGUGAGAGCCCCGUCUGGUUGGAUACCAAGCCUUUGUAAAGCUCCUUCGACGAGUCGAGUAGUUUGGGAAUGCUGCUCUAAAUGGGAGGUAUAUGUCUUCUAAAGCUAAAUACCGGCCAGAGACCGAUAGCGCACAAGUAGAGUGAUCGAAAGAUGAAAAGCACUUUGGAAAGAGAGUUAAACAGCACGUGAAAUUGUUAAAAGGGAAGCGUUUAUGACCAGACUUGGGCCGGUUAAUCAUCCAGCGUUCUCGCUGGUGCACUUUGCCGGUCCAGGCCAGCAUCAGUUCGCUGCGGGGGAUAAAGGCGUCGGGAAUGUGGCUCCUCUGGAGUGUUAUAGCCCUUCGCGCAAUACCCUGCGGUGGACUGAGGUUCGCGCAUCUGCAAGGAUGCUGGCGUAAUGGUCAUCAACGACCCGUCUUGAAACACGGACCAAGGAGUCGUCUUCGUAUGCGAGUGUUCGGGUGUAAAACCCCUACGCGUAAUGAAAGUGAACGCAGGUGAGAGCUUCGGCGCAUCAUCGACCGAUCCUGAUGUUCUCGGAUGGAUUUGAGUAAGAGCAUACGGGGCCGGACCCGAAAGAAGGUGAACUAUGCCUGUAUAGGGUGAAGCCAGAGGAAACUCUGGUGGAGGCUCGCAGCGGUUCUGACGUGCAAAUCGAUCGU